rnacentral:tRNA from 1 species
GAGAAUAAAAGAAAAAACAGAGCUGCUAACUCUUGUUUUAAGCGGUUAAACUCCGUUUGUAUUCUUACCA